rnacentral:rRNA from 1 species
UCGUAAACCUCUUUUAUUAGGGAAGAAGAUCUGACGGUACCUAAUGAAUCAGCAUCGGCUAACUCCGUGCCAGCAGCCGCGGUAAUACGGAGGAUGCAAGCGUUAUCCGGAAUCAUUGGGCGUAAAGCGUCCGCAGGUGGCCAGAUAAGUCUGUUGUUAAAGCAUGGGGCUUAACCCCAUAUCGGCAAUGGAAACUGUUCGGCUAGAGUAUGGUAGGGGUCAGGGGAAUUCCCAGUGUAGCGGUGAAAUGCGUAGAUAUUGGGAAGAACACCGGUGGCGAAAGCGCCUGACUGGGCCAUAACUGACACUCAUGGACGAAAGCUAGGGGAGCGAAAGGGAUUAGAUACCCCUGUAGUCCUAGCCGUAAACGAUGGACACUAGGUGUUGCCCGUAUCGACCCGGGCGGUGCCGUAGCUAACGCGUUAAGUGUCCCCGCCUGGGGAGUACGCACGCAAGUGUGAAACUCAAAGGAAUUGACGGGGGCCCGCACAAGCGGUGGAGUAUGUGGUUUAAUUCGAUGCAACGCGAAGAACCUUACCAGGAUUUGACAUCCCGCGAAUUCCCUUGAAAGGGGGAAGUGCCUUCGGGAGCGCGGAGACAGGUGGUGCAUGGCUGUCGUCAGCUCGUGUCGUGAGAUGUUGGGUUAAGUCCCGCAACGAGCGCAACCCACGUUUUUAGUUGCCAUCAUUUAGUUGGGCACUCUAGAGAGACUGCCGGUGACAAACCGGAGGAAGGUGUGGAUGACGUCAAGUCAGCAUGCCCCUUACGUUCUGGGCUACACACGUACUACAAUGCUUCGGACAGAGGGUCGCCAGGCCGCGAGGUCGAGCUAAUCCCGUAAACCGAGGCUCAGUUCAGAUUGCAGGCUGCAACUCGCCUGCAUGAAGGCGGAAUCGCUAGUAAUCGCCGGUCAGCAUACGGCGGUGAAUACGUUCCCGGGCCUUGUACACACCGCCCGUCACACCAUGGGAGUUGGUCACGCCCGAAGUGGUUACCCUAACCGUAAGGAGGGGGACCCCUAAGGCAGGGCUGAUGACUGGGGUGAAGUCGUAACAAGGUAACCAGAUCUGGCC